rnacentral:lncRNA from 1 species
CCUCACCUAUCCCAUCACAGGACUUGGAUUCCGUGUGCAUUCCAGCUGCGUGUGUACCACAGACCCGCGUUCAGUCCGUACGCACCUCUAGGAGUGAACUGAACUAGCACCAUUAGUAAGACCCGAACCCUGACUCCGUGCUAUCUAGAACUCUGGAGACUUCUGGAGCCAGACUGCCUGGAUUUAAAAGACAUAGACCGCAGCUGUGACUAUCAUUUACUAGUUAUGGGACCUUGGACAAGUUACAUUUCCAGGAUCUCAGCAUUCCCAACUAUGAGAUGGAAAUAUUAAUAACAGCAGCGUAUGAAAAAGUUUAGCUUACCUCAUUUGGCUCAUGACAGAUAAUUAUAUACGCUUUCCCUCUUGGGGCUUUUGUUUUUAUGGGAGUGGGUGGGGUCCUGGGGGGGUCAAACUCUGGGCUUUGUAUAUGCUAGACAAAAGUACUAUUCCUAGGCUACAUCCCUGGCAACCUUGUUAUUGUUUUCUCAUUCAUAAAGUAGAAACACAAGUCUCUCAGGGCUGCUCCAAGGAGUCAAUGAUGUAACAAGUGAAAUUUUCCUCAGCAUAUUAUCUCAUCAGCAUUUCCUUCCUUUCUGUGUAUUAAAGUAAUUGCUACAAUCAAACGAGGACCUUUAAUGCCAGGGUCUCUCGGAGAACCCGGAUUUUGGGUUUUGUUGAGUCAGCGAACCAAGGAGCGCUGCCUGUCUCCACAAGCUCCACCCCUCCCCUCCACACCCCAGUCCAGUGCUGCAGUUACAAACACGCCACAAGGUCUGGCUUUCUACACGGGUGCCCGGGAUCUGACCUCGGGUCCUCAGCUCUUCCUGCUUUCAAGGCGUUAAGGUACAAAGACUAAAUAAACACUCAUCACGACCCUCGAGGAUACAACAGACUAACGGAGGAGGCAGAUGAAGCCAGUGCAGGAUGCCUAGACUUCAAGGUAUUUUUAAUCAUCGAGUGACGUAAAAACACUCGGUAACUACUUGGAUUAUGGUGGAUGAACUGAGCGGCAGUGCUGCAUUGAGAUAUUACCCUGCUGGCAUCCAUCGACAACUAAAUAUUCCACACAUGUCUGCCGAGUACAAUCACACCGCUACAACGCUUGCUGAUAAAUCCAUCCCAGCUUCUCUACCUCUGAAGUCACUAGUAUAUUUCUAUUACUAUGUACAUUUUAGGGUGAUUAGGAAAUAAACAAGAGACCCACUGUUAGGAAUUUUUAAUAACCCGGAAUAAAAGAAUAAGUAAAAGAUAAUUAUGCACGCUCCUCAAAUCCCCUUUUGGAGUUAGAAAGUAAUUAUAUCUUAGACACUAUAUAUUUCUUCAGAUAAAAAAAAUUUUUGAGACCAAUUAAAAGAGUUGCUGGUUUACUAACUGUCAACACAGGCUUGAGAUGGUCUCCCCUGCUACAGCAAGAUGAUAUUCUUAAAACAUGAUAGGAGAAUUUAUUCUGGGGUUCUAAAAAUUGCAUUAAGAGCUAUCAUGGGGGCUGGAGGGAUAGCUCAAUGGUUAAGGGCACUGACUAUUCUUCCAGAGAUCCUGAUUUCAAUUCCCAGCAACCACAUGUUGGCUUACAACCAGCUACAGCAUGCUCAUAUAAAUAAAUAAAUCUUUUUCCUUUUUAAAAAGAGCUAUCAUGCAAAAAAUUAAAUUAUAUCUUUCAAAGGUUUGUCCAACUCUAAAUGGUUCUUGAGAUGACUGAUGGAGGGGACAUAAUGAAUGGAAAGAAGGUUCAUUCUCUAGCCUCUCUGUCUGGAUAUGUCACCAUUCAGUCUGUUACUCACACCCUAAGCUGGGCAUAUAGACUAUACAGGCACACACACAAUCUGCAACUUACUUAGCAAAAGGUUCUUCUUCCACAAGAACUUUCGUGAGUUGCAUAUGAUAAAGACUGUCACUAGGCCUGCUGUCCCCCAGCACGCAAUGAAUAGGACACGUAGGACAUGAACGGUCAGUACUCCAGUUGCUUAAACGAGUCCUUUGCACCCUCAAAACAGUAUGUGGCCGCAAUGCAAAAAGGAACCGCGUGGUUGCCAUGAGAGAGCAUGUGAGCACAGUGAAGCUACGAGAUGCACCCAGUGCCCAUCCAUUUUAAAUUCAUACUUAUUAUACAGGAAGACGUGCAUUCAAAACAGCUUAUUCUUUUGAAAAUGGUUCUUUAGUCUCUUGCACAUGUGCCUGCAUGCUGACUGGCAAAUUCUCUUGCAAUCCAUAAAUUAAAAUUCCACUCUUUCCUAACAUGCUUUCACUUCGAAAUGUCAAUAUAGUUUGUAUGGAUGCAUAUGUGUAUACAUUUAUUCUAUAUAUCCACAAAGCCCACUGUAUUUAUUUGGCAGCCGCAGCUCUUAAAUUGGUCGUCAUGUAGAUGGCUAGACUGUCACGUUAGUCUAUUCACAGAAUCACAAAAACAACUGACUAGAAAAGCUGAAGGGAUCCAUAAAGAUGACUUAGACCAAAUCCUUCAGUCCAAUGAGAAUCCAGAGUGGAGAACAAGGAUUCUGUCAAACUCAAGCCAAAAGCUGGUAUAAAGUCCUUUAUAGAGAACCUGUCACCAUUAAGUCAGAACUAGGAACCCCUUUCUCUGAUUAACUAACUAAAACUAUUGUUAAAAAUCCCUAGAAUUUUGUUUUCGGUUUAAAU